UACGGUGGGGGCAAGCGUUGUUCGGAAUUACUGGGCGUAAAGGGCUCGUAGGUGGCCAACUAAGUCGGACGUGAAAUCCCUCGGCUUAACCGGGGAACUGCGUCCGAUACUGGUUGGCUUGAGUUUGGGAGAGGGAUGCGGAAUUCCAGGUGUAGCGGUGAAAUGCGUAGAUAUCUGGAGGAACACCGGUGGCGAAGGCGGCAUCCUGGACCAAUACUGGCGCUGAGGAGCGAAAGCCAGGGGAGCAAACGGG
rnacentral:rRNA from 1 species